UGUUUAUUAUCAAGUAUUAUGCACUGUAAUUUAGAUGCUAUGCGUUUAUAAGACUGGCAGCAUGGUCGAUUUGUUUACACCAGCAUCACCACAAACAUGUGAGUAAUGUGUUGCACUAUGACACUACAUUACUAGGCAACAGGUGUUUUUCAGCUCCGUUAUAAUCUUAUGGGACCACUGUCGUGUAUGUGGUCCAUCACUGACCGAAAAGUCAUUAUGUGGCACAUAACUGUGUAACUGAUGUCCAUGCCCAACCAUAUAUGUGAAAUUACUCUUGCAAAA
rnacentral:lncRNA from 10 species